rnacentral:tRNA from 1 species
GCCGGGAUGGCGGAAUUGGUAGACGCACGGGACUCAAAAUCCCGCGAUCGCGAGAUCAUGGGGGUUCGAUUCCCCCUCCCGGCACCA